UUGAAUGUACCUUGGAGUUUACUGUUGCUGGCUUUGUUAUGAAGCAUGUGCACGUAGCUCUGAAUACUAUUCAUCCACCUGUGCACUUUCUGUAGGAGUCUCUUUUAGAUUGGUCUAUGGUGGUCUAUGACCUCGUAGUCGAUUUGAAAGGCUUCUAUGUUUUACAAACCAAGUUAAGCAUGUUUUAGAAUGUCGUUUUAUUGGGACUUGAUUGACCCUUUAAACUUUGUA
rnacentral:misc_RNA from 1 species